UACAGGUGGUGCAUGGUUGUCGUCAGCUCGUGUCGUGAGAUGUUGGGUUAAGUCCCGCAACGAGCGCAACCCUCGUUCUAUGUUGCCAGCACGUCAUGGUGGGAACUCAUAGGAGACUGCCGGGGUCAACUCGGAGGAAGGUGGGGAUGACGUCAAAUCAUCAUGCCCCUUAUGUCUUGGGCUUCACGCAUGCUACAAUGGCCGGUACAAAGGGCUGCGAUACCGUAAGGUGGAGCGAAUCCCAAAAAGCCGGUCUCAGUUCGGAUUGAGGUCUGCAACUCGACCUCAUGAAGUCGGAGUCGCUAGUAAUCGCAGAUCAGCAACGCUGCGGUGAAUACGUUCCCGGGCCUUGUACACACCGCCCGUCAAGUCAUGAAAGUCGGUAACACCCGAAGCCAGUGGCCUAACCGCAAGGAGGGAGCUGUCGAAGGUGGGAUCGGUGAUUAGGAC
rnacentral:rRNA from 1 species